ensembl:lncRNA
CCUGGACUAGGUAUUUCUUAUUUUUUUUACUUAUGCCUACGUUUCAAUAAACUAUUAGCAAUGUAUAGCGCGCACUAACUUAUGCUAGAAAGACAAUACUGUCCAAUGGGAUAUCGUCAACGCGUGCUAGGCUCUGCCCACACGGCUUCACUAGCCUUCAUUAGGAAAGGAAAGGUUAUGUAUUAUCUUGGUGUAGUUAUAUAAAUCUUAGCUAUUAGCUUUUGUAGCCACAUAGUUCUUUUGUUAUGUCUGUGUACAUUCCUAAUAUAUAUAUUUAUGUUUGUAGCUAGCUGAUUUGUAUACACCCAACAAAAAACUACGUUUGGAAAGUGGACUGGAGAAACGGACACCUGACUGGCCUGGGCGCAGGUGUGAUCUGAACACAGCAAAAGGCAAAACUCAGCUAUGUCAGAAGCUAUCGUCAGCUUCCAGUACCAGCUCAGUGGAGUUAUGGAAACGGUACUUAAAACUGCUGUGCACGAGAUCACUCGGUUGGUGGAGAAUGGCUUCUUGAAGGAAGUAACACGUAGCAAGCAGGAAGAGGACGUCUUGAGGAAGAAGCUGCAGCAGUGGGAACAGAGAUGGAGGGACCAAGAGGAAGAGAGGAGGGGGACGUGUGUGAGAUGUGGAUGUGCGGCAGAGACUACAAAGAAAGUAGAUGGUUUACCCGGAGCUGUGAAUGGUUAUGGUAUCAAACAGGAGGACAUUGUGCAGUCUGAGACACUCAGGUCUGUGCGGGAGGUGCACGUCCAGAAGGUGCACGUCAAAGAGGAGGAUGAUGCACAGGGAGGCUGGGGGGACAUGUUAGCCCUGACAACCCCAUACACAGACACCGCUCAUAGUGAGCCUGACUUGUCAUCACUGUGGACCAGUGAACCUCUACAUCUACCACCUCCCCCAGCACCAUGGACCACUGAGCAGCAGAUUUUACCACCAGCGCCAUGGACCACUGAGCACCAGCCUCUACCCCCAGGGUCGGUGAUACCAGCCCAGGGGACAGAGAGCGCUGUGGGGCCACCAGAGUCUGUGUGUCACCUGAGAAUCCAAAUGAAUCGGGCCUAUCACACUGGAGAGAGGCCUUACCACUGCACAGAUUGUGGGAAAAGAUUUAACGCUAGAACAGACCUGAAAAGACAUGAACGAAUCCAUGCAAGGGACAUCUCCAAGGCAAGACCGAACAAUGGUAUCCGAGCUAAUAAAGAAUAUUCUGCACCAGAUCAUGCUACAAAAAAAACCGGAAGGCUUAUUCCACUAGAAUUAUUAGCAUCUGUGAGACAGGGCUAUACACAGCUUGGGGAGGACCUAAGAUGGCGACUUGGCCCCAAUGACUGCUUCAAGUCUCCGCACAAUGAAGAGGUGACAAAAUCAGUAAUGCAGAUAGUAAAUGAUGGAGGCCAAUACUGGGGUCCUGACAGUCUCAUCAGAAAGGCGUGUAAUAGGGUGUAUGAGUACUGGAAAGCUCAAGGGAAGAUUGAGAUGGAGGGCAACGUGGAGCUGAUCAAGAAGAGGAAAAUCCUUACCAGCAGGAGGAACAGGCUCUUCCAGAAGAGAGUGAAGGUGGGAGGGAAGUUCCUCACCCCGGAAGACCUAGACUUCCUAGUUGGAGCUGACCCCAACUUCAUGUCUGACGAGGAGAGUGACGUGGAAGAUGACGGCCUCUAUCAAGUGCUCCCUCCCAGGUGGCGCUGCAUGAGGCUGACCCGUAUCGUCAGGCUCUGCCAGAAAGCCCUGGAUGAGAAUCGCCUUGUGGGCGUUGAGCCGAAGUCGACUCGCUCAAGGAAAUUACAGUGGGGUAGAUUUACCUCUCGCCAUCCACCAAAAGGACAGUCUAAACAAGUCUAUGUGAAUAAAAAUAAAGAAUAAGCUUCACUGUAAUUGGUUAUUACUUAAUAAAAUAGUUGCUCAACAAUUGACUGUUAAACAGAUGUCAGAACAUGAAUAGGGAGAAGACAUGACUCUCUCAUCUCUGUUUGCUAUUACAAGGGAAGAGGCUCUAGAUAGAAGUUGCCUUUAACCAGUGAUAUAGGAUCAUCUCGACCUAACCCUGUCCUCACCAGUGAUUCUAGAAAGUGUAGAGGGCAAAUGUUUCAGUUUGUACAGUGAGAUGUUGGGUUGUGGUUGGAAUCUGACACUGGCUUAAAAAUACCUGUUUAUG